rnacentral:rRNA from 1 species
GACGGCGGAUGCAAGUGUUAUCCGGAAUCACUGGGCGUAAAGCGUCUGUAGGUGGUCAAAUAAGUCAACUGUUAAAUCUUGAGGCUCAACCUCAAAAUCGCAGUCGAAACUAUUAGACUAGAGUAUAGUAGGGGUAAAGGGAAUUUCCAGUGGAGCGGUGAAAUGCGUAGAGAUUGGAAAGAACACCGAUGGCGAAGGCACUUUACUGGGCUAUUACUAACACUCAGAGACGAAAGCUAGGGUAGCAAAUGGG